UCCUGUAAGGAUAAUUUGCUCAUCUACUUCUGUUGGGAUAUACCGACUGACGAUCCCGACGGAUGAUUCUGAUCGACGACUUCGACGGACGAUCCCGACGGACGACCCCGACCAACUCCGACGGACGACCCCGACCGACCCUGACGGACGACCUCGACCGACCCCGACCGAUGACUCCGACGGACGACCCCGACCGACCCCGACG
rnacentral:lncRNA from 1 species